CCAACGGUCCUCCUCCUCGUAUAGCCACGUGGACAGCCUCUUCUGCGGCCAUGUCAGCAACUCAACCCCAUUCGCCCCAGAAACGACGUCGUUUCACACUACGACCCACUCCCUACAACCACCGUCCACUCAACCUCUCUUCGACCCUCACUCCGGGUACGAGUCGAUGAUUCUAUGAGAUUCUUGCCAUGUGCCUUCGCCAUAUUCGCCACACCUCAAAUCUCCGUUUCUGCAAUUGGCCAUGAAGAGGAUGGAAGCAAUGUGAGAUAGAUUUCGAAAGGACAUUGGGACUUGGGCGUGAGUGAACAGAGGUUUGAUAUGGGGAGAUUUGAGGAGGUUAAUGGGUUCGGAUACAUUGAAUCACAAUCCCGAGAUUGAGGAUUUGUACGAGAAGAUGAUUUUGAAGCUUAAGGAAUUGGCGAGGCUUAUGGACAAGAGUUCAGCUAGGGUUCUUGAGCAGGGACUGAUAUGAGAUCUAUACAACUUUUGACAGGAAGAUCAAAAUGGAAAAUUAAGGUGUAAGCUUGCCGGCUUGCAAUGGUUGUUGGUUGCUCAGAGGAUUUCCACUACUCAUUUAUAGGUUUUAUGUAUAUGCAUAUAUGGUUUUGCUUCUAUGCUAUAUUUUUAUUGGUUUAAUGAUUGACUUAAUACGCAAGUUGUUCUUCUUGUAAUUGCUUUGUUUAUACUAUUGGUUUUUUAAUUUUAUCCAAAAGAAUUAGGAGA